GUACAUGCUUGGACGGUAAAACUAGUCAAUAUAUGAGGGUUUUACGUGAUCAAAGACACCUUAAAUAAGCGCAACGGUAGGAGAUGUUUGUUCAUGUGGCGCUGUAGAAAGCCAGGUCAAAUGGAAGUGUAACCUAUACUGCUCUAACUGUAAAGUAAUUUUAUUGGUCGCCUUUAAAUACGCUGUGGGGACAAACGUAGGUGUUUGUGCAUAUCGCCCAAAUUCCGUGCCACGCCCUCUCUCUUGGGCUUAGAGCUCGAGUGACGUAAUAUGUCAUCGCGGCGCCCCGCUCCUCCCACCAUUUUAGCGCCUAGGCGGCCUUUCGUUCGGAACCAGCCGUCAGCGCCUGCUGGCGACGGAACCUUACUUUACUGAGCAAGACGCGUGAGGCUCCCGGCCAGCGCUGUGGAGGCCCCACCGCCCCCAGCCAAUAGAAAUGCUGUAGGGGGACCCAGCGCCCCGGGAUAUGGGCGGGCUGCUGUCCUAUGAUGAAACUGAGACCCAGAAGGGAAGGGACCCCCCCAAGACCAUCCAGCUAGGACUUGAACCCUGAAGAAAGGCGUCUUCAGAUAGAUGCAAUGGGAGAAUGACAGGCAGAGAAAGAGGAAGCAAACAUCAAGAGAGUGGGGGGCCAGCGAUGAGUGCUCG